rnacentral:rRNA from 1 species
UACAGAGGUGCCAAGCGUUAGGCGGAAUCACUGGGCUUAAAGCGCGUGUAGGUGGGUCGUUAAGUGUCCGCGUGAAAUCCCACGGCUCAACCGUGGAACUGCCGGGCAUACUGGCGAUCUUGAGGCAUUCAGGGGCGAGCGGAACAAGUGGUGGAGCGGUGAAAUGCGUAGAUAUUGGGAAGAACACCGGUGGCGAAGGCGGCGAGCUGGUCCAUUACUGACGCUGAGGCGCGACAGCGUGGGGAGCAAACAGG